CUACAUGCUCAAAGAUUCAAGGU
rnacentral:siRNA from 1 species